rnacentral:lncRNA from 1 species
GCCAUGCCGCUAUACUGAUCCACUAACACCUGAUUCUCUACCUGUGCAGUCUAGGACAACAGCAUACAGGAGCGAUGGCUAAUGUUAUCUAUUAACCCCUUCAGUACUGGGACACAUUUUUACCUUGAGAUUUGUGUACGAUUAGACCAUUUCAUUGACAUUAGGAAAGGUCUAUGGAGGUCACAAGAUUAAUGGUGACAGUCUUCACUAUUUUGAUCCCACAAUUAAGUUUCUGAAGCUGUAUAAAAUCAUCAAAUAGUAACCAGAAUGAAUAUGGAAACGCGUCAUGGUACUCAAUGGGUUAAGUGCUGAGAUACCAGACUCAUUUUUCAGGUAGCGUUAAGUUCUGAGUAAGUAGUGGAGUGUUCUUUCCCUGAAGAGUGUAUGUAGAGUCACUUGGGGUUACUGUGCUAUAUAUGAACGGUGGAAUGCCUGUGUAGGAGAGAUUAUUCCCGCAGUGCGUAUGUGUCUAUUAUUACUUAGGUUUGUACUGUAUCGUGACGGGACCAUUGCAUUCAUGUUAUAUUCGUGAUUGUACAUAAGUCAUGCUAUUCAAUUAUAACUGCGUGAUAGAAACUGGUUAAUAAUGUAUGUGUAAACUUAGAUCGUUCAAGGAAAUUCGUUUUAACAAGUUUGACCGCCACCACAUGAUACUUUAAUAAAUGUAACAAUAGGUCCAUGCACUGAUUAUCAGGCACCACCGACACUCCAACAUGUGCCAUUACCGGAGCUUACAUGUGUGCAGUAGAGCCGCGAUAACAAAAUAAUGACGCCAAAAUAGUUGUUUGUUGGGAUCAAAUCACAGUUUUGAAUGAAUGAGGCACCGAUUCUCGAGCCACACGCUUCAUAGUCAGUCAGUGAGUCUGUGAGGUGCUUUCCUGAAAGAGGGACUAUCCAACGUCGUAAGGGAGAAAUGGAAUUGAUGGCGUGACAUUCCACGCCUGUAAUGAAAGGGAGAUGUUUGGUGAUGUGCAGAACACCAACAUACAGCAAGCAUCCUCAAUGGACACACAAUACAAGUCACCAUGUCUGCUAGGAAGAUGAUAAGUGGAUGUGGGUGACGCAUGUGUGUUAUGUGGAAAAAGGAAGACAAGAAGGAUCCCCAGAGAAGAGUAAAUAUAGAAAAGAAGAAAUUAACCAGAAAAUAAGAUGAACAUAGCAGUGCUAGGAGUCCUGAGAUGACCACAAGAAAAUAUGGAGUUUGAGAGGAUGAGAAGAGCAACAAACAAGAGGUUGUGUGAAGAAAAGAUGAAGACAAGUUGAAGUGGAUGGCUGAGAAGUGGGAACAUGCUUUCUAGACCUGGACCAGACCUGGCUGGGAUUGCAUGGAAUGAGAAUGAACAACUUGAAAAGCUUGGGAAAGUUUCCACAAGAUGAAAAGUUUUCAUUAUUCUGUGUAAGUGUGAAUCCUAUCUUCUAAAUUGCUAAUCACAAUGAUUGACAAAGAUCAUGUACCUGAAAAAUUCAUACAUAAAUACAGUGUGCACUUAUACACACUCACACACACAUACUGUUACUUGCCUUGCCU